ACGCCGGCGGUGUGCCUAAUACAUGCAAGUCGUACGCACUGGCCCAACUGAUUGAUGGUGCUUGCACCUGAUUGACGAUGGAUCACCAGUGAGUGGCGGACGGGUGAGUAACACGUAGGUAACCUGCCCCGGAGCGGGGGAUAACAUUUGGAAACAGAUGCUAAUACCGCAUAACAACAAAAGCCACAUGGCUUUUGCUUGAAAGAUGGCUUUGGCUAUCACUCUGGGAUGGACCUGCGGUGCAUUAGCUAGUUGGUAAGGUAACGGCUUACCAAGGCGAUGAUGCAUAGCCGAGUUGAGAGACUGAUCGGCCACAAUGGAACUGAGACACGGUCCAUACUCCUACGGGAGGCAGCAGUAGGGAAUCUUCCACAAUGGGCGCAAGCCUGAUGGAGCAACACCGCGUGAGUGAAGAAGGGUUUCGGCUCGUAAAGCUCUGUUGUUGGAGAAGAACGUGCGUGAGAGUAACUGUUCACGCAGUGACGGUAUCCAACCAGAAAGUCACGGCUAACUACGUGCCAGCAGCCGCGGUAAUACGUAGGUGGCAAGCGUUAUCCGGAUUUAUUGGGCGUAAAGCGAGCGCAGGCGGKUGCUUAGGUCUGAUGUGAAAGCCUUCGGCUUAACCGAAGAAGUGCAUCGGAAACCGGGCGACUUGAGUGCAGAAGAGGACAGUGGAACUCCAUGUGUAGCGGUGGAAUGCGUAGAUAUAUGGAAGAACACCAGUGGCGAAGGCGGCUGUCUGGUCUGCAACUGACGCUGAGGCUCGAAAAGCAUGGGUAGCGAACAGGAUUAGAUACCCUGGUAGUCCAUGCCGUAAACGAUGAGUGCUAGGUGUUGGAGGGUUUCCGCCCUUCAGUGCCGGAGCUAACGCAUUAAGCACUCCGCCUGGGGAGUACGACCGCAAGGUUGAAACUCAAAGGAAUUGACGGGGGCCCGCACAAGCGGUGGAGCAUGUGGUUUAAUUCGAAGCUACGCGAAGAACCUUACCAGGUCUUGACAUCUUGCGCUAACCUUAGAGAUAAGGCGUUCCCUUCGGGGACGCAAUGACAGGUGGUGCAUGGUCGUCGUCAGCUCGUGUCGUGAGAUGUUGGGUUAAGUCCCGCAACGAGCGCAACCCUUGUUACUAGUUGCCAGCAUUAAGUUGGGCACUCUAGUGAGACUGCCGGUGACAAACCGGAGGAAGGUGGGGACGACGUCAGAUCAUCAUGCCCCUUAUGACCUGGGCUACACACGUGCUACAAUGGACGGUACAACGAGUCGCAAGCUCGCGAGAGUAAGCUAAUCUCUUAAAGCCGUUCUCAGUUCGGACUGUAGGCUGCAACUCGCCUACACGAAGUCGGAAUCGCUAGUAAUCGCGGAUCAGCAUGCCGCGGUGAAUACGUUCCCGGGCCUUGUACACACCGCCCGUCACACCAUGGGAGUUUGUAACGCCCAAAGUCGGUGGCCUAACCUUUAUGGAGGGAGCCGCCUAAGGCGGGACAGAUGACUGGG
rnacentral:rRNA from 1 species